rnacentral:rRNA from 1 species
ACUCAAAUGAAUUGACGGGAACUCGCACAAGCGGUGGAUCAUGUGGCUCAAUUCGUAGGUAAGCGAAGAACCUUACCAGGACUAGAAAUCUAGCUGCACGCCUCGGGAAACCGAGGAAGCCUUCGAGGGUGCUAGACAGGUGAUGCAUGGUCGUCGUCAGUUCGUGGCUUGAGCUGUUCCCUUAAGUGGGGAAACGAACGCAACCCCCGUUGCCUGUUUUAUAUGUCAGGCGAGACUGCUUCCUUACGGAAGAGGAAGGUGGGGAUGACGCCAGAUCCGCAUGUCCCUCUGAUGUCCUGGGCUGCACACGUGAUACAAUGGUCGCGACAAAAGGAUGCAAGAGCGUAAGCUGGAGCAAAUCCCGAAACGCGUCCUCAGUACGGAUUGAGGUCUGCAACCCGACCUCAUGAAGCUGGAAUCGCUAGUAAUCGUAGGUCAGCCAUACUACGGUGAAUACGUUCUCGAGUUUUGUACACACCGCCCGU